rnacentral:rRNA from 1 species
GACAGAGGGUGCUAGCGUUGUUCGGAAUUACUGGGCGUAAAGGGCGCGUAGGCGGCUCGUUUAGUCGGGUGUGAAAUCCCGGGGCUCAACCCCGGAACUGCAUUCGAUACUGGCGGGCUAGAGACCGGAAGAGGUGGGUGGAAUACCCAGUGUAGAGGUGAAAUUCGUAGAUAUUGGGUGGAACACCGGUGGCGAAGGCGGCUCACUGGUCCGGUUCUGACGCUGAGGCGCGAAAGCGUGGGGAGCAAACGGG